rnacentral:rRNA from 1 species
GUGGCGAACGGGUGAGUAACACGUGAGCAAUCUGCCCUUGACUCUGGGAUAGCUGCGGGAAACUGUAGCUAAUACCGGAUACUUUCCUCGCUGGGCAUCCAGCGGGGAAGAAAGAAUUUCGGUCAAGGAUGAGCUCGCGGCCUAUCAGCUAGUUGGUGAGGUAAUGGCUCACCAAGGCGACGACGGGUAGCCGGCCUGAGAGGGUGACCGGCCACACUGGAACUGAGACACGGUCCAGACUCCUACGGGAGGCAGCAGUGGGGAAUAUUGCACAAUGGGCGAAAGCCUGAUGCAGCAACGCCGCGCGAGGGAUGAAGGCCUUCGGGUUGUAAACCUCUUUUAGCAGGGAAGAAGCGAAAGUGACGGUACCUGCAGAAAAAGCACCGGCUAACUACGUGCCAGCAGCCGCGGUAAUACGUAGGGUGCAAGCGUUGUCCGGAAUUAUUGGGCGUAAAGAGCUCGUAGGCGGUUUGUCACGUCUGCUGUGAAAAUCCGAGGCUCAACCUCGGACUUGCAGUGGGUACGGGCAGGCUAGAGUGCGGUAGGGGAGAAGGGAAUUCCUGGUGUAGCGGUGGAAUGCGCAGAUAUCAGGAGGAACACCAAUGGCGAAGGCACUUCUCUGGGCUGUAACUGACGCUGAGGAGCGAAAGCGUGGGGAGCGAACAGGAUUAGAUACCCUGGUAGUCCAC